AUCAUCAUGAAAACCACCGUAAUUGUCACUUUAACGGUAUGCUGUAUAUUAUACCAAACGACCAGAGCGGCAGUGUUACCUAACAGAGAAAGUCUCUCAAGACAAGACAUUCUAGAUCUUCUCCAGCUAUACGAAGACGGACCACUUAGGCAAGAAGGAAGCAAGAGAUCAAGAGGUUGUGAUAGUUUUGCCGGAUGUUUGUCAAAUACAGUGGCCAGGAACCGAGUAGCUGCUCUUCUAAGAAAUAGUAACGCCCAUCUUUUUGGUCUGAACGGACCCGGAAAGAGGCGAAGAUCGGUCGAUGACGUUGAAAUGAACGAGGCAGAGACAGAGUAAAUUCAACAGCGCCAUCUGUAGUUAUCACACCUUGUUUUUGUCCUGGCUCGUUCCAGCCUUCCUCCUUUCCGUAUUUUCCAUGACCGCCUCUGCCUUUCUCUUUACAAUCGCCCUCUCCUCCUCUCUUUUUAUAACUUCCGGUCUCCAUCCCAUUUCUUUUUCUCUCAACUUUCAUGCAUUCCCACUCUCUCUUGCUCC